ACGAGGAGGAGGGAAGGGGGGGUUGGGUAAGCCGCCUUUCCGUUUCCGACCUCAGAUCGGACGAGAUUACCCGCUGAAUUUAAGCAUAUCACUAAGCGGAGGAAAAGAAACU
rnacentral:rRNA from 1 species